rnacentral:rRNA from 1 species
AGCUCCAAUAGCGUAUAUUAAAGUUGUUGCGGUUAAAAAGCUCGUAGUUGGAUUUCUGUCGAGAACGCGCGGUCCACGCUUUGCGUGAGUAUCUGUGGUGGUCUUGGCAUCCUCUGGAGGGAUGUUUCUGCGCUUGAUUGCGUGGUACAUAGCUUCAGACUUUUACUUUGAGGAAAUUAGAGUGUUCACGGCAGGCAAUCGCCUUGAAUACAUUAGCAUGGAAUAAUAACAUAGGACUUUUGUUCUAUUUUGUUGGUUUCUAGAACAGGAGUAAUGAUUAAUAGGGAUAAUUGGGGGCAUUCGUAUUAACACGUCAGAGGUGGAAUUCUUGGAUUGUGUUACGACGAACUACUGCGAAAGCAUUUGCCAAGGAUGUUUUCA